GAAAUGUACGUGCGUAGAGAGUUAUAUUAUACAUUUUAUUACAUUUUAGUAAUACUUAUCUUGUGUGAAGCACAAUACGACAACGACAAUAAUCGGGGAAAACCAAAGAAGGUGAUGAAAUAUCCGACGCGAGCCGGCCGAAUGUACACUCGCUGUACGCGCCGCUUCACGCCCGGCACGUGUAUCAGUCCGAUAAAAUCCGUGUGGACAUUCGAGUUUCAAAUGCAGAACUGCACAGAAAGGCUAGGCUGUCGCGAUGAAGAAAGGGCCAAUAGAUUCUCGUUCUAUGUUAAAUGCAAGAUACAUUGUCAAGGACUGGUGGACUUGUACACACACAUACUAUCCAACGAGAUGAAUCUAACU